UUGCCGACUCCUAGGAAUGGCACUAGAAGAAUUCACGGGUUUAUACUUUUCUCGUGGGUCUUCAGUGUCAUCUGCAGGGCUCGGAAA
rnacentral:pre_miRNA from 1 species